CCCUUCGAUGUUCUGGGCUGCACGCGCGCUACAAUGACACAUUCAACAAGUUUAUUUAAAUCGCUGUUUUGAAAAAAUUGGCAAAUCUUUUGAAAUUUUGUCGUACUAUGGAUUGUUGAUUGAAAUUAUUCGACGUGAAAAAGGAAUACCUAGUAAAUGUGAUUCAUCAAAUUGCAUUGAUUAUGUCCCUGCCCUUUGUACACACCGCCCGUCGCUCCUACUGAUUGGUAUAUAAGGUAAAAAUCUCGGAGAAGUUGGGAUUUCAUGCAGGUUUACUUGCAUGUGCCUGGCCUCAAAGUUAUUUAAAUCUUCUGUACUAGAGGAAGGAGAAGUCGUAACA
rnacentral:rRNA from 1 species